GAUGAACGCUGGCGGCGUGCCUAACACAUGCAAGUCGAGCGAUUUACUUCGGUAAAGAGCGGCGGACGGGUGAGUAACGCGUGGGUAGCCCGCCCUGUACACACGGAUAACAUACUGAAAGGUAUGCUAAUACGGGAUAACAUAAGAGAGUCGCAUGGCUUUCUUAUCAAAGCUUUUGCGGUACAGGAUGGACCCGCGUCUGAUUAGCUAGUUGGUAAGGUAACGGCUUACCAAGGCGACGAUCAGUAGCCGACCUGAGAGGGUGAUCGGCCACAUUGGAACUGAGACACGGUCCAAACUCCUACGGGAGGCAGCAGUGGGGAAUAUUGCACAAUGGGCGAAAGCUUGAUGCAGCAACGCCGCGUGGGCGAUGAAGGCCUUCGGGUCGUAAAGCUCUGUCCUCAAGGAAGAUAAUGACGGUACUUGAGGAGGAAGCCCCGGCUAACUACGUGCCAGCCGCCGCAGUAA
rnacentral:rRNA from 1 species